rnacentral:rRNA from 1 species
AUUGAACGCUGGCGGAAUGCUUUACACAUGCAAGUCGAGCGGCAGCGCGGGGCAACCUGGCGGCGAGCGGCGAACGGGUGAGUAACACAUCGGAACGUGCCCAGACGUGGGGGAUAGCCCGGCGAAAGCCGGAUUAAUACCGCAUGUGAUCUGAGGAUGAAAGUGGGGGACCGCAAGGCCUCACGCGUUUGGAGCGGCCGAUGGCAGAUUAGGUAGUUGGUGGGGUAAAGGCUUACCAAGCCUGCGAUCUGUAGCUGGUCUGAGAGGAUGAUCAGCCACACUGGGACUGAGACACGGCCCAGACUCCUACGGGAGGCAGCAGUGGGGAAUUUUGGACAAUGGGCGCAAGCCUGAUCCAGCCAUUCCGCGUGCAGGACGAAGGCCUUCGGGUUGUAAACUGCUUUUGUACGGAACGAAAGGGCUCUGGUUAAUACCUGGGGCAUAUGACGGUACCGUAAGAAUAAGCACCGGCUAACUACGUGCCAGCAGCCGAC